GAUGAGCGCUGGCGGCGUGCCUAAUACAUGCAAGUCGAGCGAACAGACGAGGAGCUUGCUCCUCUGACGUUAGCGGCGGACGGGUGAGUAACACGUGGAUAACCUACCUAUAAGACUGGGAUAACUUCGGGAAACCGGAGCUAAUACCGGAUAAUAUAUUGAACCGCAUGGUUCAAUAGUGAAAGACGGUUUUGCUGUCACUUAUAGAUGGAUCCGCGCCGCAUUAGCUAGUUGGUAAGGUAACGGCUUACCAAGGCAACGAUGCGUAGCCGACCUGAGAGGGUGAUCGGCCACACUGGAACUGAGACACGGUCCAGACUCCUACGGGAGGCAGCAGUAGGGAAUCUUCCGCAGUGGGCGAAAGCCUGACGGAGCAACGCCGCGUGAGUGAUGAAGGUCUUCGGAUCGUAAAACUCUGUUAUUAGGGAAGAACAAAUGUGUAAGUAACUAUGCACGUCUUGACGGUACCUAAUCAGAAAGCCACGGCUAACUACGUG
rnacentral:rRNA from 1 species